UAACUGUGAUAACUUAGGUGAAUUGCAAAUAGCGUGACUCCUUGAAAUUUUGAACGCACAAUGAGCCCCUUACUUCUGUUUGGGGCGUGUUUGGUUGAGAGUCAAAUAUAAACUAUCGUAGCCAGUUUCUGACUGAGCAACGUAAUUGGAGACUUGUAAAAACGGUCUCUUAAAAGGAAAUCAUACAGACCUAUCAUACACUUAAACUAAGUGUUAUCUUGAUCCUUCGUUUGUGGCGUGGCAACCUGGAUGAUUUGGAAACAGGUUACUCUAAGUCCAAAAUGUAUGGUAAAGAGUCUAGAUUAUCUGACAUAAUAACACGAGUCCUUUAUUGGAUUCUAAAUUCUUGACAUCAACUCAGGCACGAUUACCCGCUGAAUUUAA
rnacentral:misc_RNA from 1 species